AAGGUUUGGUCCAGCAAAUGACAUCACGGUAGCAAGAGGUGGCAAAGUGGGAUCCAACUCUUUUGGUGGCACGAUACAUUUGUCGCCAAAUACAGAGCAAAUGUACUGGAGCUUUGGAAGUGGAAAUAGCUUUAGACAGAAGGCGGAUGAAAGUAGUGUAGGCAAUCUACUUGGUCCAAACCUUGCACGAAGUUCCUCUAAGCUAGCCAUAAAGCUAAUACACACAUAAUCUCUCUUUUAACUGGCCAACGAGAAAUUGUGAUUCCCUGGGGAGACCAUGCCAAGAACUUUGAUUCUGCUGACCUAUGUAAUGCAUCCUCACAAGAUUCUAUCAUAAUAUUAUUUUUUUGCCAUGAGUGUCAGCAAAUACUGAGGUAACUUACGAUUAUCUAGCUAAUGCCUGCAAAUGAGUUUUCUUCAAGGUCAUGAAUUUUGGUGUGAGUGGUAAACUAGGUGGGUUUCAUGGGAAUAUAUGUUGGUGCUGCUGCAGGUUCUGAAUUUUUUAAGGUGAGCUCAGGAAUUGGAUAGCUCCUGCAGGUCGUGCAUUUCCUAGAUCAGAAAAGAAAAAGCAAUGGUCCCUUCUCAGAUCUUCUUGGUUCACAUUUUCAAAGAUAGAUGGGCAUUGGACAUUGCGUCGCUCAAUCGCGGUGAGCUGCUUCUACCUGCAUACAUCCUGCUAAGUCGGUGCAACCAAGUCAUGUGUUCUUCAGAUAAGUGUGAUUUUCCCACAAACAGUUCAAAGGAGACCUUCUAGACACUGAUCAUUCAAGUGAUUAUAUUUUUCUUAAGUUCUGCCUUUUUUCUAAUUGCAGUUUGGUUUCAUUAUUUUUUCAUAGAGGGUGUCUCU